rnacentral:rRNA from 1 species
AAGGAGUAACUGUUUACCCAGUGACGGUAUUUAACCCAGAAAGCCACGGCUAACUACGUGCCAGCAGCCGCGGUAAUACGUAGGUGGCAAGCGUUAUCCCGGAUUUAUUGGGCGUAAAGCGAGCGCAGGCGGUCUUUUAAGUCUAAUGUGAAAGCCUUCGGCUCAACCGAAGAAGUGCAUUGGAAACUGGGAGACUUGAGUGCAGAAGAGGACAGUGGAACUCCAUGUGUAGCGGUGAAAUGCGUAGAUAUAUGGAAGAACACCAGUGGCGAAGGCGGCUGUCUGGUCUGCAACUGACGCUGAGGCUCGAAAGCAUGGGUAGCGAACAGGAUUAGAUACCCUGGUAGUCCAUGCCGUAAACGAUGAUUACUAAGUGUUGGAGGGUUUCCGCCCUUCAGUGCUGCAGCUAACGCAUUAAGUAAUCCGCCUGGGGAGUACGACCGCAAGGUUGAAACUCAAAAGAAUUGACGGGGGCCCGCACAAGCGGUGGAGCAUGUGGUUUAAUUCGAAGCUACGCGAAGAACCUUACCAGGUCUUGACAUCUUCUGACAGUCUAAGAGAUUAGAGGUUCCCUUCGGGGACAGAAUGACAGGUGGUGCAUGGUUGUCGUCAGCUCGUGUCGUGAGAUGUUGGGUUAAGUCCCGCAACGAGCGCAACCCUUAUUACUAGUUGCCAGCAUUAAGUUGGGCACUCUAGUGAGACUGCCGGUGACAAACCGGAGGAAGGUGGGGACGACGUCAAAUCAUCAUGCCCCUUAUGACCUGGGCUACACACGUGCUACAAUGGAUGGUACAACGAGUCGCGAGACCGCGAGGUUAAGCUAAUCUCUUAAAACCAUUCUCAGUUCGGACUGUAGGCUGCAACUCGCCUACACGAAGUCGGAAUCGCUAGUAAUCGCGGAUCAGCAUGCCGCGGUGAAUACGUUCCCGGGCCUUGUACACACCGCCCGUCACACCAUGAGAGUUUGUAACACCCAAAGCCGGUGGGGUAACCUUUUAGGAGCUAGCCGUCUAAGGUGGGACAGAUGAUUAGGGUGAAGUCGAACAAGUGCCGGUGCU